CCAGUUAAAACAAUGGUAAUUUAAUCCGUUUUUCAAACUUCAAAAUGUUUGAAACUUAUAUGCCUUCUGACCAAAAGGAAGAAAAAGAAAACAAAAAAAAACUAAUCACUAAUUAAGACUUAUUUACAUCAAUCAAAAGAUUCUAAUAAGUAUGAUGAUCAGGAUAUGUUACUCGUAUACGAAACCCCCUCAAACAAUAUGGUGGCUAAAUCGCAAUUUAACAAAUCGAUCUAACAAAUAUUCUAGGAUUUAUAGAUAAUCCUAUUGUAUUUUUUUAAACGAGG
rnacentral:lncRNA from 1 species